UGGGGAAUAUUGGACAAUGGGGGCAACCCUGAUCCAGCCAUGCCGCGUGUGUGAAGAAGGCCUUUUGGUUGUAAAGCACUUUAAGCAGGGAGGAGAGGCUAAUGGUUAAUACCCAUUAGAUUAGACGUUACCUGCAGAAUAAGCACCGGCUAACUCUGUGCCAGCAGCCGCGGUAAUACAGAGGGUGCGAGCGUUAAUCGGAAUUACUGGGCGUAAAGCGAGUGUAGGUGGCUCAUUAAGUCACAUGUGAAAUCCCCGGGCUUAACCUGGGAACUGCAUGUGAUACUGGUGGUGCUAGAAUAUGUGAGAGGGAAGUAGAAUUCCAGGUGUAGCGGUGAAAUGCGUAGAGAUCUGGAGGAAUACCGAUGGCGAAGGCAGCUUCCUGGCAUAAUAUUGACACUGAGAUUCGAAAGCGUGGGUAGCAAAC
rnacentral:rRNA from 1 species